CAAUAGCGUAUAUUAAAGUUGUUGCAGUUAAAAAGCUCGUAGUUGGAUUUCUGGUCGGAAGCUCCUGUCCUCUGAUGCGCGUACAAGUGCGUCCUACCAUCCUUCUGUUAACCUUUAAGGCUUUCGCGGCUUUCUAGGGGCUCAGAUAUUUUACCUUGAGAAAAUUAGAGUGUUUCAGGCAGGCUAGCGCCGGAAUACAUUAGCAUGGAAUAAUGGAAUAGGACUUUUGCCUCUUCUGUUGGUCAUGAGGCUCGAGUAAUGAUUAAUAGGGAUAGUUGGGGGCAUUAGUACUUAACUGUCAGAGGUGAAAUUCUCGGAUUUGUUAAAGACUAACUUAUGCGAAAGCAUUUGCCAAGGAUGUUUUCAUUAA
rnacentral:rRNA from 1 species